AAGGGUAGCAAUACCUGGAGUACAGUGGCGCACGGGUGAGUAACACGUGAAUAAUCUACCUCCGAGUGGGGAAUAACUGAGAGAAAUCUUAGCUAAUACCGCAUAACACUUACGAGUCAAAGCAGCAAUGCGCUUGGAGAGGAGUUCGCGGCCGAUUAGUUAGUUGGCGGGGUAAUGGCCCACCAAGACGAUGAUCGGUAUCCGGCCUGAGAGGGCGCACGGACACACUGGAACUGAAACACGGUCCAGACUCCUACGGGAGGCAGCAGUGGGGAAUUUUGCGCAAUGGGGGAAACCCUGACGCAGCAACGCCGCGUGGAGGAUGAAAUAUCUUGGUAUGUAAACUCCUUUCGAUGGGGAAGAUUAUGACGGUACCCAUAGAAGAAGCCCCGGCUAACUUCGUGCCAGCAGCCGCGGUAAUACGAGGGGGGCAAGCGUUGUUCGGAUUUAUUGGGCGUAAAGGGUGCGUAGGCGGUUUGGCAAGUCUUAUGUGAAAUCUUCGGGCUCAACCCGAAGCCUGCAUAAGAAACUGCCGGGCUUGAGUAUGGGAGAGGUGAGUGGAAUUUCCGGUGUAGCGGUGAAAUGCGUAGAUAUCGGAAGGAACACCUGUGGCGAAAGCGGCUCACUGGACCAUAACUGACGCUGAUGCACGAAAGCUAGGGGAGCAA
rnacentral:rRNA from 1 species